UGCGUUUCUCUGGGCUAUAGUAGUAAAGGCCAAAUUCUAUAUUUUCUCAAAUAUUUUUAUAUUUUUUAUACCUAAAGAGGUCCUAAAAUUCCAAUUCAAAUAGCUAAAUGAUCCAUAGAAUGACCAUCUUAUAACAAUUCCAUGUGUCUCAGUGCUGUCCUGAGGCUCUAUGGGGUUGGUUUAGGAUAUUGAUCUUAUUCUCGAACAGCUGGCUGAGGGGACUCUUCUCUUGUUUCAUCUCUUGACAUUGUAGGGUUGUGUGAUAAAAUGUUUGGGGUUGAUGGCGCUUUUUCCAAUAGGAAUAAGGAGGGAGUAUUGGCCCAAUUAUGCUCUACAUUGAGUUGAGUUUUUCUUUGCACUUGCAAUACACUCUUGCAAAACUCUGCACGCAGUAUUUUGAUUGGAUGUUUGUACCAUUUGGUAAAUUCAUUAUUGAAAACCUUGCUGCCGUAUAGAGCAGUUGCUUCUAAAACUGAUUGGAAAAUUGGAACACAAACCAGAAAGAGUAACUGUGUUGUAUGUUUUUCUCUUAUAGCUUCAGGUUUCAUACUGUCACUGAAGAAGCUACUGAGCAUACCAGCGUACUUUCUGCUUCUGUGUGGCAGCAUCCUGAAGUUCAACUCCUUCAUUGGGCUGCUCAUGUUCAAAGCCAAGUACAUGGAACAGCAAUUUGGCCAAUCAGCAGCCAGAGCCAACUUCCUCAUUGGUUAGACACUGUAGCUACAUGUUUCACAAUCAGCUACCAUCUUUAUAAACCAACUAGGGCCCCACUACUGGCUGUAAGCGAAUGACUGAUGCGCAUUUGGAGCAAUACUGGCUGUAUCCGAGGCUCAGUCAAUCAUUCAUAUUACAACAGAAUGCAACAUGCAACUGAAGAGAGAAGAGACAACCAACUUGCUAGUUACGGCAUCAGCGUGCGCUCUGGAAAGACAGCAGAGAGUGGAAAGGCCGUUUGCCAGUUACAGCAGCAUGUCCCCUGAACAAUAAUGAAAAGGACCCCUGGUGUACGAUGGCAGCCUGUUGUCAGAGUGUAACAGAGACUGCUCCUGCUUGGCUGGGGAGUGGGACCCUGUGUGUUCAGACAACGGCAUCACCUACAACUUCCCCUGCCUCACAAUCUGCUCCAGCUCUACAGGAUACGGCAAGAACUGAGUGUACAACACAUUCACAGGGAUGCUGGCCCAUGUUGACUCCAAUGCUUCCCACAGUUGUGUCAAGUUGGCUGUAUGUCUUUUGAGUGGUGGACCAUUCUUGAUACACACGAAACUGUUGAGUGUAAAAAAAAAAACCCAGCAGCGUUGCAGUUCUUGACACAAACUGGUGCCCCUGGCACCUACUACCAUGCCCCCUUCAAAGGCACGUAAAUAUUUUGUCUUGCCCAUUCACCCUCUGAAUGGCACACAUACACAAUCCAUGUCUCGAUUGUCUCAAGCCUUACAAUAUAUUUUUUAAUCUGU